rnacentral:lncRNA from 1 species
AUUUACAUUCUGUUCAGGCAACCUCGGGCAAUCUUUAAUGAAGUGGUCAACUGAUCCGCACUUGUAACAGGAGCGGUCAGGGAAUCUACAACUCCCCGAAUGCCAUUUACCGCAAUAUCGACAUUUCGUUCUAUCUCGACGUUCAUUCCCAACACUGGCGACCGAAGUGCCUCGUGUACCCACAGGGGGUCGAUCACGAUCUCGUCUAAAAAGGCCCGAAGUGCCUCUCGACCAGCCCACAUCAUCUCGAAAUUUCUUCGAUGCAUGUUGAAGAGACUUUCCCGAAGAUCUUUUACGAAACUCUCUAGUUCCCACAUCAACCUUUUGUUUUUCU